UACGUAGGCAGCAAGCGUUGUUCGGAGUUACUGGGCGCAAAGAGUGCGUAGGCGGUUUUCUAAGUUUGGUGUGAAAUCUCCCGGCUUAACUGGGAGGGUGCGCCGAAAACUGGAAGGCUCGCGGAUGGGAGAGGCAUGCGGAAUUCCUGGUGUAGCGGUGAAAUGCGUAGAUAUCAGGAGGAACACCUGCGGUGUAGACAGCAUGCUGGACCAUUUCUGACGCUGAGGCACGAAAGCGUGGGUAGCAAACAGG
rnacentral:rRNA from 1 species